UACGGAGGGUGCGAGCGUUGUCCGGAAUCACUGGGCGUAAAGGGCGCGUAGGUGGCUUGGCAAGCGUGUGGUGAAAGCCCGGGGCUCAACCCCGGGUCUGCCGUGCGAACUGCUAUGGCUUGAGCACUGUAGAGGCAGGUAGAAUUCCGGGUGUAGCGGUGGAAUGCGUAGAGAUCCGGAAGAAUACCGGUGGCGAAGGCGGCCUGCUGGGCAGUGGCUGACACUGAGGCGCGACAGCGUGGGGAGCAAACAGU
rnacentral:rRNA from 1 species